UCCUCGAUGAUUGAAUAGCUUGACUUUCGUUCUUCUGACUCUGCUGAAGCCUACUUGUGUGCUGCUGAGAGGG